UCUCACUGCGGUCCCCCGGGCGUGGGGGUGAGGGUGUUUUCCCCGCAAAUCGAUAUGCACUGCAGUACGCAACAGUGCCUCCCCCCGGGCCGCCGCCGGGGCCAGCCCCGCCGCCCCCGAGCGCCAGCAGCCCCUUCCGUCACCCCACUUCACUCCGCGGGUGGGUCCCAGUCACCCCAGUUCUCGGCCGGAACCUUGUUGCCAGGGGAGACGGGUGCUUUACGGCAGCACGUUUGAACUGGGAAGAGGGAAAAGUUCCUGCCUCAGGUGCCGGGGUAGAGGGGAGCGCAGUGCGGGCUGUGGCGCCGACCCGGGGAUCGGGAGCGAAAGAGGGGCGGGGGAUCCCCGUGGGUAAGAGGGCUCUAAUCAAGAAAGAAAAGAACUAGAAGAAAAGUGAGCUGUCUCCACAAUGUAAAGAAUUUGUCAAAUAUCUUUUUAACAAACCAUAUUUUCUACUUUACCGGGGUGGAGAGGUUAUACACACCAAAAAGAUGCUGUUAUUUUUAAAAUUAAAAACCCACAUAUUUCUUUAUUUAAUAAAUACCUUCAGUAAUUAAAACAUUGAAAAUGUUAGACAUUUGAUUGAUCUUUCACCAUUUAUGCUAUUUGUUUACUUUUUACAUUUCACUCAGUUUAGAGAACAAAAACAAAUUAGUCAGUUUCCCUCUUAUUUCUAGUUAUUCUCACUUCCUUGUUCUCAUGCACUCGAAUAAUUCUGUGAUGUUUAGGUUGCCAACACUUCUGUGAAUGGUUAAAUCUGAACAGAACACAGUAAAUUUCAGGGAAAACAUUUCUACUUGUAUUAGAUUUUUAAAAAUAAUUUUAAAACUACUAAAUCUGGGGCCUAAAUGACCUUAUCACAUUCCGUUAGGUAGUCUGUGUAUUCAUGUACAUAUAUGACCUCAUUUUAUAGAAACAAUGGGUUUUUAAACUGAAGUGACUUUUUCUUAAUUGAAAAAUGACAGAGAAAACUGAAACAUGAGAUUCCACAGAUUUCUCAAAUAUUUUCUCAUAACGCUGAUCUAUGUAAGCUAAUUUUUUGCGGCUGUGUAUUUGUUCUAUACAUUGUGUUAAAGGGACAGGGCAGUCCACAGUCUCAAAAGUGUAUGCAAGUUAUGGAUUUAUUUGUUCAGGUGCCUAAGUAUGCCACAGCUCUCAUUUACAGGCACAUGUCAGCAUUGUUUGAGUGUGCAUACUUCUGAAAAUUUGGGUAAGUUUAGGCUCAGCAUUUAGGGGCAGAUCCUUAGCUGGUGUAAAUUACCAGAGCUCCAUUGAGUUCAGUGGAACUAUAACAGUUUAUGCCUGCUAAGGAUCUGCCCAUUAGGCCUUUUUUAAAAAGAGUUACAAAUCAUAAUAGAAAUCUUUUUAUGAAUUAAAAGUUUCUGAAACCCAAGUACAAGGGUACCUUAGAAUCACAAAGUGAAAUGGACUAUGAAAUACAAGUGAAACCCUCAGUAAAAUAUUAUUGUUAAAAGUGAGUAAAUUACAAAGAGUAAAAAAAUAUAAAUGCUGAAAAGUAAGGCAGGGUUUUAAUUUUGUCUAGGGCCCAGUCCUGCAAGCUGCUCUGCAUACAAGCAAACAUCCAGUCCUGUGGAGCACCUUUCAGGUCAGGGCCUAAGGCAGUGGUUCUCAACCCAUGGGCCACGUACAGCCCAAUCAGCACACAGCUGACAUGUGACAUAUGACAUCCUCAGGGCUAUACAGGUAGUGUAUAUAUAUGCAUGUAUAUAUAUAUAUAUUGUGUGGAUGCAGCCUGCAUAACACAUAGAGAGCUGCAUAUGCAGCCCACAAUGGUAAAUAGGUUGAGAACCACUGCCCUAAGGUAUUAAUAACACAGGUAAUAAAUUUAAAUGCUUGUAAUUCAACAGAUGAUGUUUGUCCUGAGCGUCGCUUGUGGAGUACUGUGCUAGGAUUUCAGUCUCUUUAAACUUGUGAUGUUUUAGAUGGCAGUUGUAGAAGAUGGGGAAAAAAAUCUCAUGUUUAAUUCACCAUUCAUACUCUCUUUAUUCAAAAGGUUUAUAACACUUGUCUCUUGCACGCACAGUACCAAAAUCCAAACUUCUCCUUUGUAUGUGUCCUUCAGUCAGCUUGUUUUGAUUCUGUUUUGUAACUUGUCAUCUUUGGGGGGAAAAAAUCACUUUGGCUCUUAGGUUUAAAGAAGCUGCGAUUCCUAUCAAGGUGCUUUCCUCAGGCUGCUGAGAGGGAGAAGGGGAAGAUUAUUUCCUUCCCUAGAGCCUCUUGAUUGUUGUAGGAAGGUAUCGUUUCUCUGCUUCUUUAUUUCUCCUUAAGCCUACUGGCUGCUCUGCAUGAUGGGGUAUAUCUCUUGCUAUUCUUGACUUUCCUCAGCCUCACCUCUGAGGUUUUGUUCAGUUUUAUCUGAUACUCCUUGUGAAUAGUUGCAGUGCUUGUUCACACACUUGUCUCUUGGAGAUUUGUAAGCAACAGCAGAAAGAAAACAGAUGACAUUUGUUGUCAUUUUCUCUGCUGACCACCAGUUUGUGAAGAGCAGAAGUGAAACUGACAGGAGCAUUCUUAAUUUCAUACUGCUGCUGCUUAGAAAUAAUAGGAGGGACACUGGAGUGAUCUGUUUGUAGUCACAUGAAGACAGCACUGAAUUUAGUUUACAUUUGGAUGGUUAACUGCAACCAAAAGGAUUAGCAACUAAAAAAAGAGAAGCUAGAGUUUGCAUAAAUUGAUGGAUUAGCCCACAACCACCACUUGAAAGCCUCCCAGUUACCAUUAAGAAGUAGAUGAGUGGAUUUUUUGAACCUUGCUAUAUUUAAUCACCAAGCAACUGCGGAUCUCAGCCUCUCAUGAAGAAUGCCAUAUACUCACUAUACUGUUUUUCAAAGUUUGUCACAAUAAAUAAAAAAGCCGUCGUCAAAUAUGAUGAUUUGGCCUAAUGAAUCUCUUCUGAUUCCUCGUACAGGCCAGUUAGUUAAAUGUUAUUACUGCAUUUAUAAGAUGCCCAUCACUGUAGUAUCUAGGCACAUCUUACAAGGUUUAAAUUGUGUCAAUUUAUAUUGUAAAUGAGAAUUAGGAAACAUGAAACCCGUUAUUAUCCUCAUCUUUUAAUCUGAUUUUUCAGCUAGGAACCUAGGAAUUAAUGGUUUAAUUAUUUGUAAACGUCUGGGCAAAGAGAUGUAUCUUGUGGCUCUUUCUAAACAUAGCCUGGUUUGUAAGCAUAUUUCUUUAUAGAAAGAAUUCCAGAGAUGUGGCCAGCUACCAAAAAUACCCAGUUUUCAGCUCCAUAUGAAUAUUAUACAAAUUUAGUUCCAGUUAAAUAUGAAUUUAAUUUGUGCAAUAUGGACAUAAUGUGCUUGAAACUUUUAGGAUUGAAAGUCUUUGGUUGGGAGGGGAUGCAAACUGUGUUAAGAAAAUAAUUACAAAGUCACAUUAGUGUAAGUGCAUUGUAAACCAUGUAAAAUGGGAAUAUUUUGUGCUCAUGGUUACCAUACAAAAUUUUUUCAUUUAUUAAUAUAAGUACUUAUUAUUGUAUUGUAUAAUUAAGGAUCUUUUCUUUACACAAUUCAACAAAAAAUAAAAAUAU